UAGAUUUGUAAGCCCUUUACCAUUAUGGCAACUCCCACUAUCCCAGAUGGGGAAACUGAGGCACAGAGCAGGGACACGGCUGGCCCAAGGUCACCCCGCAAGAGGCUGUGACAGACACACAACUAGACCACCAGGCAUUUGCAGUCCUCAUUUCAUGAUCUAACUGCCAGACCACGCUGCCUCCCUGCGUGCGGCUUAGGCAUUGGCUGUGGCGUUACCAAGCCAAGUUCUGAUCUUUCCGAGCAGAGGCCAGAACAAAGGAGGAGCAGAGGGGGCUGAGCAAUCUGUCUGGCACUCUUCACUGCUGCUCCCUUCCCUCCCAGUCAAAAGAGCCGCCCGGCCUCGCUAGUGCCGAUCCACCGGCCCACAUCGACCCCAGACCGGCUACAGCACUGUAAUAUUCCUCCCAAGUGGCGGGAAGCUGCUUGCUUCUGGAUUCCUUGUUGCUCUGUCUCUCUGCAGAAGAGAGGAAAGUAUUUUCAGGGGCAGCCACCUGAAUGUGCAAUAAACCCGCAGUGUUUCUGAGCCCUCGGCAGGCUGCUCUCGCAUUCCCAGAACAGUCUGGGCACCCUCUAGCGGCACAAAGACUGCAAGCUCCCGGGACGUGCCUGCAACGUGUCACAAGGCGUUUGGGGUCAAACUUAGCCCCCCAAACCAGGGGCUGAGUUUGCCACAGGGAUCUGGAGUAUUAUUCACUGUUAUUUACAGGUUUCAGAGUAGCAGCUGUGUUAGUCUGUAUUCGCAAAAAGAAAAGGAGUACACUUGUGGUACCUUGGAGACUAACAAAUUUAUUUUGAGCAUAAGCUUUCGUGAGCUACAGCUCACUUCAUCCCCAGCCCACUGCCCAAGACUUUAACACACCCUCGCCUCAGCCGUGCCGAGCGCUCGUCAGCUGCAGGGGCACCCCCCGCCCCGGUGCACGCCAGCGAGGGAUGAGCCGCGUGUGUCUCGAGGCGGGGCGUUUCUGUGCUGGGGAGCAGCUCGGAUGCCAUUUGGGAAGGCAGGGCUCGUGCAGCCUGUGUCUGGAUCCUGUGCUCUCCUGGUGACUUUACUUUCUGGUGUCGCUGGCCCCCAGCUCUCGGAGAAACCGCUCAGGCUGCUGCUGGGUAAAAGAGUCCCUGCUUCCAGGAGCAGAGCCCUGCCUUGUGUGUACCUGUCGGACAAUCAGGGGAGCUACUUCAUUCCUAUGGAUUCCAACUCAGAAUUCAACAUAUAUAUUUUAGACUAGCACACUCUAUAUAUUGUUUAAUGGAAAACACCUGUGUACUAAUUAAGUGUCAUGUGUUAACCUGAAACCAUGGGCGGAGACGUUAUGUAAUUUUUUGACCAUUGGCUACUGUGCAUCACCUCUUGGCCUCACUCACUCCAGAACUCAACACCUGGAAACACCUUAGGAACAAGAACUGAACGGGGAAUGUGGUCCCAGGCUGGAGAGAUGUCUAGCCUGUGUAUGGAAGAUUUCUGGACGGUUUGUUUCAUCAGGGUGACAUACUCCUUGUAUGGAGCGUAGAUUAUAAUUUUGUUUAUUUCUUAGUAACUAACUUUGAUCUGUCUAUCUUUCUGUGUAGUUAAUAAAUCCGUUUUUUUUUUUAACCUA